rnacentral:rRNA from 1 species
UGGGGGAUAUUGCACAAUGGGCGAAAGCCUGAUGCAGCGACGCCGCGUGGGGGAUGAAGGCUUUCGGGUUGUAAACCUCUUUCGCUAUCGAACAAGGCCCGCUUAGGGUGGGUUGAGGGGAGGUGGAGAAGAAGCGCCGGCUAACUACGUGCCAGCAGCCGCGGUAAUACGUAGGGCGCGAGCGUUGUCCGGAAUUAUUGGACGUAAAGGGCUUGUAGGCUGCUUGUUGCGCCUGCUGUGAAAACGCGGGGCUUAACUUCGCGCGUGCAGUGGGUACGGGCAGGCUUGAGUGUGGUAGGGGUGACUGGAAUUCCAGGUGUCGCGGUGGAAUGCGCAGAUAUCUGGAGGAACACCGAUGGCGAAGGCAGGUCACUGGGCCAUUACUGACGCUGAGGAGCGAAAGCAUGGGUAGCGAACAGG